UCUGUGGAAAAAGAAUUUUUGGUGUGGCCAUGAUUUUGUGGGAAAUCCAAACCAAGGACAACUCAGGGAAGUUGUCGCUCUUCGGCCCUGGAGGUCCUGCCGGUCCUGCUGCUAACAAGGUGACUGGAUAACAGUUUCAUUCAUUGACUGACCAGUUUGUUUACGGGCCCCUGUUUAGGCAAAAACACCCAUCCCGACCUCGACCGUGACAGGGCCUCUUCCCCAGUGCCUCAGCUUAAGGCCGUUUUAAAAUCCUUGCACGUUCCUGCAAAGAUCAGGUUUCAUUCUUGGGUGCACAAACUUGGCCGCUUUCUGAGGUGGAGCUCCUGACUGGUUAAACAGGGCUUCUUUCCACCUCCACCACCAGCCUUCACAAUUUCUCCUCUAUUGGACCUGGAGAAGGGCGGAGUCCAGUAUCUAUAAAAGGGGACGUGGAACCCCCACCAAUACCAAGUUAGCGAUAUGGCAAAGGAAAAAAAAGAAGCAUUAAAAUAUUACAUAAAUUGAAUGGGUGAAAGAGGCUGAAUGGUAAGUAUUUUAUGUUACUUUUAUAAGCUGCACUCUCCAGUAGGGUGUCUGAUAGCCAUAUGUGCCUAUUGAACACUUGAAAUGUGGUUAUGUCUACUGAAAAACCAAAUUGUUAAUUUAAUUUUAAAUUUUAAAAACGGAUUUCAGUUAUUGGAAAACCUUUACGUGUGUUUGGAACAACUUGGAUAUAUGAAUAUAUUUUUUUUCAACUUAAAUUUUGUGAAAUCUAAAUUUAGAAUCCAAGUUGAGAUGUGCUGUAUCUAAGUACGAACUAACAGGAUUUCAAAGACUUAGUACCAGAAUUUUUUAAAAAAAGUAUAUUGAAUAGCUUAUUAAUAAUUUUUAUAUUGAUUACAUGUUGAAAUGAUAAUAUUUUGAGCAUACUGGUUUAAACGAAAUGUAACAUUAAAAUAAAAUUUACCUGUUUUUAUUGUUUUAAAUGUGGCUACGAGGACAAUUAAAUGUUUAUGUAUUUGUAUUAGAUGAUGCUGGCUUAAUCUGUUAAACACAGAAAUACUAAUAUCUGUUGUUUGUGCAUAUGUUUUCUGAAGUGGUUAAAAAUGAGAACCAAAUGGACAGGAUGGAUACACUCCAACUUCAGGGUGGGGUUCAUCUCUCAGGAGGGAGGCCAAGGGAUAGUAUCAGGGAAUGUUUUAAAGGUGGAGUCUGUUAUGUUUUAAGUUUUUGUUCAUUAAAAAAAAAUCUGAAACAAAUGUAGUGUUAGGAUGCUGGAUUUUCAUUUUUUUGUACAUUCAUUUGUUUUUAAAAUGAUUCAUGAUAUUGUUUGGUCCUUGGUCUUAAAAGUUUAUAAUCUAUCUUACACAAAAUGUGACCAAAUUACUUCAUGUAUUUGUGUAUGGCUUAGCAAUGUAUCGGUUUCAUACGAAUUUUACUAAAGAAUUGUGGCUAGGCUUCCUUUAUACACCAUACAGUAUUUUAAAAAGAUCCAAUUAAAAUUUAUUGCGUACUAGGAUCUUUUCUAGGUCCUGGGGUAUGAAAAAAUUGAGACAGGGUCCUAGCCAUUUGGGAGCUCAUUGUCUAGUGGUAGAGUAGCUUAACAGGCACACUAUAUAAGCUGCCAAAGACUGAAUGUGUCCUCCCAAAAUUCAUAUGUUGAAACCUAAUCCCCAGUGUGAUGGUAUUCGGAGGCAGUAUCUUUGGGAGGUGAUUAGGUCAUGAGGUGGAGCCCUCCUGAAUGGGAUUAGGGCCUCCAUAAAAGAGGCUCCUGAGAGUGAGAGCUUCUUUUGCUCCUUUUUCCGUGUGAGGACGCAAGUGAGAAGACAGCAGUUGAUGAACUAGAAAGCCGACUCACCAGAUACAAACCUGCCAGCGCCUUGGUCUUGAACUUUCUAGCGUAUAGAACUGUGAGAAAUAAAUUUCUGUUGUUUAUAAGCCA